rnacentral:rRNA from 1 species
AAAUCAUCAUGCCCCUUAUGUCCUUGGGCUUCACGCAUGCUACAAUGGCCGGUACAAAGGGCUGCGAUACCGCGAGGGUGGAGCGAAUCCCAGAAAGCCGGUCUCAGUUCGGAUUGGGGCCUGCAACUCGACCCCAUGAAGUCGGAGUCGCUAGUAAUCGCAGAUCAGCAACGCUGCGGUGAAUACGUUCCCGGGCCUU